rnacentral:rRNA from 1 species
GUGGGGAAUAUUGGACAAUGGGCGCAAGCCUGAUCCAGCCAUGCCGCGUGAGUGAUGAAGGCCUUAGGGUUGUAAAGCUCUUUCACCGAUGAAGAUAAUGACGGUAGUCGGAGAAGAAGCCCCGGCUAACUUCGUGCAAGCAGCCGCGGUAAUACGAAGGGGGCUAGCGUUGUUCGGAUUUACUGGGCGUAAAGCGCACGUAGGCGGUUGGUUAAGUCAGGGGUGAAAUCCCGGAGCUCAACUCCGGAACUGCCUUUGAUACUGGCAAGAUAGAGUCCGGAAGAGGUAAGUGGAACUCCUAGUGUAGAGGUGGAAUUCGUAGAUAUUAGGAAGAACACCAGUGGCGAAGGCGGCUUACUGGUCCGGAACUGACGCUGAGGUGCGAAAGCGUGGGGAGCAAACAGGAUUAGAAACCCUUGUAGUCC